AUUGCUUCUCAGCCUUUAGGCUAAGAUCAAGGGUAGUAUCUGUUCUUACCACUUUAAUGUGUCACCAAUAAUGAAAGCUUAUCUGAGCUAUCACAAACAAUACCCCCU
rnacentral:snRNA from 1 species